rnacentral:rRNA from 1 species
ACCAGUGAGGGAUACCGGCGCGAAAGCGCCGACAAGCCCGCAUACGCUUUCCUCUCCUGAGAGGGGAAGGAAAGCUUCUUCGGAGGGCGCUGGUGGAUGGGCCUGUGGCCGAUUAGCUAGUUGGUGUGGUAAAAGCGCACCAAGGCGACGAUCGGUAGCUGGUCUGAGAGGACGAGCAGCCACACUGGGAUUGAGAACGGCCCAGACUCCUACGGGGGGCAGCAGUGAGGAAUUUUCCGCAAUGGAGGGAACUCUGACGGAGCAACGCCGCGUGCAGGACGACGCGUUUCGGCGUGUAAACUGCUUUUCUGUGGGAAGAGCAAGGACGGUACCACAGGAAGAAGCCCCGGCUAACUACGUGCCAGCAGCCGCGGUAAGACGUAGGGGGCGAGCGUUGUCCGGAGUUACUGGGCGUAAAGGGCCCGCAGGCGGGAGGGUGCGUUUGGUGUGACAGCUCGUGGCUUCACUACGAGAGGAUACCAAAGACGGCCG